UAUGAGAGUUUGAUCCUGGCUCAGAACGAACGCUGGCGGCAUGCCUAACACAUGCAAGUCGAACGAGAUCUUCGGAUCUAGUGGCGCACGGGUGCGUAACGCGUGGGAAUCUGCCCUUGGGUACGGAAUAACUCAGAGAAAUUUGUGCUAAUACCGUAUAAUGUCUUCGGACCAAAGAUUUAUCGCCCAAGGAUGAGCCCGCGUAGGAUUAGCUAGUUGGUGUGGUAAAGGCGCACCAAGGCGACGAUCCUUAGCUGGUCUGAGAGGAUGAUCAGCCACACUGGGACUGAGAUACGGCCCAGACUCCUACGGGAGGCAGCAGUGGGGAAUAUUGGACAAUGGGCGAAAGCCUGAUCCAGCAAUGCCGCGUGAGUGAUGAAGGCCUUAGGGUUGUAAAGCUCUUUUGUGCGGGAAGAUAAUGACGGUACCGCAAGAAUAAGCCCCGGCUAACUUCGUGCCAGCAGCCGCGGUAAUACG
rnacentral:rRNA from 1 species